UAAUACGUAGGAGGCGAGCGUUGUCCGGAUUUACUGGGCGUAAAGGGCGAGUAGGCGGCCCGUUAAGUCUCAUGUGAAAUCUCCCGGCCUAACCGGGAGGGGUCAUGGGAAACUGGCAGGCUUGAGGGCAGUAGAGGAAAGCGGAAUUCCCGGAGUAGUGGUGAAAUGCGUAGAUACCGGGAGGAACACCAGAGGCGAAGGCGGCUUUCUGGGCUGUCCCUGACGCUGAGGCGCGAAAGCAUGGGGAGCAAACCGGAUUAGAUACCCGGGUAGUCCAUGCCCUAAAUGGUGGAUACUAGGCAUAGGGGGUAUCGACCCCCUCUGUGCCGUAGCUAACGCGUUAAGUAUCCCGCCUGGGGAGUACGGCCGCAAGGCUA
rnacentral:rRNA from 1 species